rnacentral:rRNA from 1 species
UACGUAGGGUGCGAGCGUUGUCCGGAAUUAUUGGGCGUAAAGGGCUCGUAGGCGGUUUGUCACGUCGGGAGUGAAAACUCGGGGCUUAACCCCGAGCCUGCUUCCGAUACGGGCUGACUAGAGGUAUGCAGGGGAGAACGGAAUUCCUGGUGUAGCGGUGAAAUGCGCAGAUAUCAGGAGGAACACCGGUGGCGAAGGCGUUUCUCUGGGCAUUACCUGACGCUGAGGAGCGAAAGUGUGGGGAGCGAACAGG